GAUGAACGCUGGCGGCGUGCUUAACACAUGCAAGUCGAACGAAGCACCCUCAUCCGUGGAAGUGAGUAGCUUGCUACGAGCGGACACACCCGAGGGUGACUUAGUGGCGGACGGGUGAGUAACGCGUGGGUAACCUGCCCCAUAGAGGGGGACAACAGUUAGAAAUGACUGCUAAUACCGCAUAGUAAUGUAGAUUCGCAUGCUUCUACAUUGAAAGCUUUUGCGCUAUGGGAUGGACCCGCGUCUGAUUAGCUAGUUGGCGGGGUAACGGCCCACCAAAGCGACGAUCUAUAGCCGGCCUGAGAGGGCGACCGGCCACAUUGGGACUGAGACACGGCCCAGACUCC
rnacentral:rRNA from 1 species